rnacentral:rRNA from 1 species
AUUGAACGCUGGCGGCAUGCUUUACACAUGCAAGUCGAACGGUAACAGGCCGCAAGGUGCUGACGAGUGGCGAACGGGUGAGUAAUGCAUCGGAACGUGCCCAGUCGUGGGGGAUAACGCAGCGAAAGCUGUGCUAAUACCGCAUACGAUCUAAGGAUGAAAGCGGGGGACCGUAAGGCCUCGCGCGAUUGGAGCGGCCGAUGUCAGAUUAGCUAGUUGGUGGGGUAAAGGCCCACCAAGGCGACGAUCUGUAGCUGGUCUGAGAGGACGACCAGCCACACUGGGACUGAGACACGGCCCAGACUCCUACGGGAGGCAGCAGUGGGGAAUUUUGGACAAUGGGCGCAAGCCUGAUCCAGCAAUGCCGCGUGCAGGAAGAAGGCCUUCGGGUUGUAAACUGCUUUUGUACGGAACGAAACGGUCUGGGUUAAUACCCUGGGCUAAUGACGGUACCGUAAGAAUAAGCACCGGCUAACUACGUGCCAGCCGCCGCCGUAACAC